GAGGAGGCCACGUGACCGGGGAGACAGCGACAGGGGAGGCGUGUCAGGAGCGCGUGCUGCCGCCACCAGACGCGUAGAGAGCAGGGACGGCUUCCCCUGGAGCUGCCGCGGGGCAGGGUCCUGGGACCCCGGGACUUCAGACUCAGAGCUGUGACAGGAGACAUGUCUGCCGUUUGAAGCUACCAAGUGUGCAGCAAUGUGUGAUGGCACCAGGAAGACACUAACAGAGUAACUUUUUGUAUAUUUAAAUGGAAAUGGGGGUCUAUCACCAACUAUCGAAGAACAAGAGAACUCUAGAAAUGUAAAAUUAUGGCCCAGUCUCCAGUGCUGCAGCGCCAUAGAAGACAGUAAAUAAAUAAGAGCCAGUCCGAAAAUACCGAGGAAUUCGAAUUGACUGGAAGAAUCAGAGCCGUGCUUUAGCUAAAACUGGAGGAAGCUGGGGAAAACAACAUACACCAAGUCAAGAACAAGCUCACUUUACAAAACAAACAAAAGAAAGGCAAAGGCGAACAGGAGAGGGGAAAAGUGGAGAGACGCAAGAAAACUGAAAAAUGGGGAAUAACGAUUUGAACACAUCUGGUUCUGAAUCAAACCAAAUGUAGUCUUACCCACAGAUCUGCCACUUUCAAAAGACUCUCCUUGAAGAUGGCUGAAUCAUCUCUUCCACUCUCAUAGCUCAGCUUGGACCUAAUGCAGGAAGGAAAAAAGUAAAAGAGCAAAGAGAGGGAGACAAUGUUGCUUCCAUUUCUCUGACAUUAAAGACAGAGCUUCAUUGCAAAGCAUCAAAUACUGCACAGUCUCUCAUCUAUUCUCUUAAAAGCAUUUCUAGAAAUGUAAGUAAACCAAGAAUGAUAAGCAUC
ensembl:lncRNA